AACGAACGCUGGCGGCGUGCUUAACACAUGCAAGUCGAGCGCGAAAGGGGGUUCGCCCCCGAGUAGAGCGGCAGACGGGUGAGUAACACGUGGGUAACCUACCCCAGAGCGGGGAAUAACAGUUCGAAAGGACUGCUAAUACCGCAUAAGACCACGUCCUUUAGGGGAUGAGGUAAAAGGCUUCGGCCACUUUGGGAGGGGCCCGCGUCCGAUUAGCUAGUUGGUGAGGUAAGGGCUCACCAAGGCGACGAUCGGUAGCUGGUCUGAGAGGAGGAUCAGCCACACUGGUACUUAGACACGGACCAGACUCCUACGGGAGGCAGCAUGGGGGAAGAUUGCGCAAUGGGCGAAAGCCUGACGCAGCAACGCCGCGUGGGUGAAGAAGGCCUUCGGGUCGUAAAACCCUGUCAGAUGGGAAGAAACCUGCUUAAAACAGCUGACGGUACCAUCAGAGGAAGCACCGGCUAACUCCGUGCCAGCCGCCGCCGUAAUAC
rnacentral:rRNA from 1 species